GAUGAACGCUGGCGGCGUGCCUAAUACAUGCCAGUCGAGCGAACAGACGAGGAGCUUGCUCCUCUGACGUUAGCGGCGGACGGGUGAGUAACACGUGGAUAACCUACCUAUAAGACUGGGAUAACUUCGGGAAACCGGAGGUAAUACCGGAUAAUAUAUUGAACCGCAUGGUUCAAUAGUGAAAGACGGUUUUGCUGUCACUUAUAGAUGGAUCCGCGCCGCAUUAGCUAGUUGGUAAGGUAACGGCUUACCAAGGCAACGAUGCGUAGCCGACCUGAGAGGGUGAUCGGCCACACUGGAACUGAGACACGGUCCAGACUCCUACGGGAGGCAGCAGUAGGGAAUCUUCCGCAAUGGGCGAAAGCCUGACGGAGCAACGCCGCGUGAGUGAUGAAGGUCUUCGGAUCGUAAAACUCUGUUAUUAGGGAAGAACAAAUGUGUAAGUAACUAUGCACGUCUUGACGGUACCUAAUCAGAAAGCCACGGCUAACUACGUG
rnacentral:rRNA from 1 species